UUGACAUCCACAGAACUUUCCAGAGAUGGAUUGGUGCCUUCGGGAACUGUGAGACAGGUGCUGCAUGGCUGUCGUCAGCUCGUGUUGUGAAAUGUUGGGUUAAGUCCCGCAACGAGCGCAACCCUUAUCCUUUGUUGCCAGCGGUCCGGCCGGGAACUCAAAGGAGACUGCCAGUGAUAAACUGGAGGAAGGUGGGGAUGACGUCAAGUCAUCAUGGCCCUUACGACCAGGGCUACACACGUGCUACAAUGGCGCAUACAAAGAGAAGCGACCUCGCGAGAGCAAGCGGACCUCAUAAAGUGCGUCGUAGUCCGGAUUGGAGUCUGCAACUCGACUCCAUGAAGUCGGAAUCGCUAGUAAUCGUGGAUCAGAAUGCCACGGUGAAUACGUUCCCGGGCCUUGUACACACCGCCCGUCACACCAUGGGAGUGGGUUGCAAAAGAAGUAGGUAGCUUAACCUUCGGGAGGGCGCUUACCACUUUGUGAUUCAUGACUGGGGUGAAGUCGUAACAAGGUAACCGUAGGGGAACCUGCGGUUGGAUCAC
rnacentral:rRNA from 2 species